GACGAACCGUGCGAACGUUAUUCGGAAUCACUGGGCUUAAAGCGCGUGUAGGCGGGUGGGCACGUCCGACGUUGAAAGCCCCCCGGCUCAACCGGGGAACGGGCGCGGAUACGACCUGCCUGGAGGGCGUAGGGGGACCUGGAACUUCCGGUGGAGCGGUGAAAUGCGUUGAGAUCGGAAGGAACGCCCGUGGCGAAAGCGAGGUCCUGGACGCCUACUGACGCUGAGACGCGAAAAGCCAGGGGGAGCGAACGGG
rnacentral:rRNA from 1 species